rnacentral:rRNA from 1 species
CCUACGGGGGGCUGCAGUGGGGAAUAUUGGACAAUGGGGGGAACCCUGAUCCAGCCAUGCCGCGUGUGUGAAGAAGGCCCUCGGGUUGUAAAGCACUUUCAGUGAGGAAGAACGCCUGGUGGUUAAUACCCAUCAGGAAAGACAUCACUCACAGAAGAAGCACCGGCUAACUCCGUGCCAGCAGCCGCGGUAAUACGGAGGGUGCGUGCGUUAAUCGGAAUUACUGGGCGUAAAGCGCGCGUAGGUGGCUUGAUAAGCCGGUUGUGAAAGCCCCGGGCUCAACCUGGGAACGGCAUCCGGAACUGUCAAGCUAGAGUGCAGGAGAGGAAGGUAGAAUUCCCGGUGUAGCGGUGAAAUGCGUAGAGAUCGGGAGGAAUACCAGUGGCGAAGGCGGCCUUCUGGACUGACACUGACACUGAGGUGCGAAAGCGUGGGUAGCAAACAGGAUUAGAUACCCUAGUAGUC